AUUGAACGCUGGCGGCAGGCCUAACACAUGCAAGUCGAGCGGAUGAAGAGAGCUUGCUCUCUAAUUUAGCGGCGGACGGGUGAGUAAUGCCUAGGAAUCUGCCUAUUAGUGGGGGACAACGUUUCGAAAGGAACGCUAAUACCGCAUACGUCCUACGGGAGAAAGCAGGGGACCUUCGGGCCUUGCGCUAAUAGAUGAGCCUAGGUCGGAUUAGCUAGUUGGUGAGGUAAUGGCUCACCAAGGCGACGAUCCGUAACUGGUCUGAGAGGAUGAUCAGUCACACUGGAACUGAGACACGGUCCAGACUCCUACGGGAGGCAGCAGUGGGGAAUAUUGGACAAUGGGCGAAAGCCUGAUCCAGCCAUGCCGCGUGUGUGAAGAAGGUCUUCGGAUUGUAAAGCACUUUAAGUUGGGAGGAAGGGCAGUAAGCAAAUACCUUGCUGUUUUGACGUUACCGACAGAAUAAGCACCGGCUAACUCUGUGCCAGCAGCCGCGGUAAUACAGAGGGUGCAAGCGUUAAUCGGAAUUACUGGGCGUAAAGCGCGCGUAGGUGGUUUGUUAAGUUGAAUGUGAAAUCCCCGGGCUCAACCUGGGAACUGCAUCCAAAACUGGCAAGCUAGAG
rnacentral:rRNA from 1 species